rnacentral:lncRNA from 1 species
CGCACUUUUUCUCAAUUUUUGGCACCUGGGCGCCCCAGAGGGCGGCGGGCGCCCUUUGAUUCGCUGUUGGUGCCUAAAUUGGCGCCUGGGCGCCCCAAAAAGGGCGCUGGGCGCGACUUUUUGCUGACUUGGCACCCUUGACCUAUAAAAGGCUCACAUUCUUCGAGGGUUGCAACUUCUUGGCGGCUGAAGCAUUGAAGCAUCGUUUGGCACCUCUUGGAGCUAGUUUUGGACUGUGGGAGCUCUCCUUUCCUUCUCCUUGGGUCUCCUUCUACCCCAUUUUCUUCUAUUGUAAGCUCAAGCCCGCCAUGACUAUGGAGAGCUAAGUUCUUUUAUGUUGGGGAAUGAUGUAAACUAUACAAACCUUUUGUAAAUGCACUUGUUCUAAAUGAAAAUAUGUUUUUCUCAUUACUUGUUAGUGUUUAUUUCUAUGCUUAAAGCUUGUUAUGACUUGAUCAANCAUGGCAUGAUGUUAGGGUUUGCUUAGUAUUGGGAAAUAUUUUGUGAACCUUGAAAUGAACAUAAACACCUAAAGGAAAUAGUGUCUAGGGAUAGAGCUAGGACCUUUGGUUGUCUUAAACUUUUUUUCUUAAUGCAGGUAAACUUGUUGGGUUGCCAAGGAAUUGGGAUUUUACAAGUGAACCUAGGCUUUCUCACCAAGAGAUUGGGUUUAAGUAACUUAGCUAGUUGACAAGAGCAAGUUAAUGAAGAAGAGUGGUUGUGUGCAUUUGCAUAUGAUUGUAUAAGUUGAAAUCAUUCUCCAACAUAUUCAUUCCACAUAUUCAUCAAUCGUUUCAUUUUCACGUGUUUUGGCCCCAAGUAGUUCAAACUUUUACUUAUGCAUGACUUUUACUUUCAUUGCACAAUCUCACACUAAAAUGGAAUCAUUCUUUAGCUUAAAUUAGUUAGCAAUUAUAUGAUAGUAAAAUAAUACCGAAGUCUCUUGGGAAACGAUAUCCGGUAUUACCGGUUUUACUACUUGCACGACUUGGUACGCUUGCCAAAGUCUCAACAAUGGGAUACUUCAUUCCAUGAAUUCUUUAAGUGUUUUUUCUUUCCUUUCCAACUACUUUUUGCUCUUCAAUGUUGUUAAGUGAUAUAUUUCUUCUUUUGAUGCUUCCACAAUUAAUAUUAUGAUUGGAACAUGUUUGGAUUAACUUGAAUACACGUCUGAAAAAAAACAGAGAAUGUUCUAAAAUUUUAAUAUUAUUGAUAAAUGAAUUGGUUGUAUCAUUGUAUUACAUGUGUUGCAUAGAUGUUAAUUCUCUCUACACUUUGUGUUAUGUCUGGCGAAGCUAGAAGGAAUGCUAUAUCAGAGGGUACACUCCCUCUUUCCAUCAUUGCUGCAUAAGGUCUUUUCGUUAGUUGCUUCAAGAGUCUCUUUUUUGUGCCUCUUUUUUGUUUAUUUUAGUUCAUUUAUCCCUUAAAAAGAAGAUGCAAUUAAAUCAACUUGCCCAAAACCAAUAGUUAAAGUAGCUACCAAUAGAUCAAGUAGAUUUUGACUAUACUUUGAUACUGAUACAUAUCCAAUAGUAUGGGAAUGGACUGGUUACCUUGUUAACUAUGGUAACUCACUCACAGCAAGAAAACAAUUGAAAAAGAAUGAAUUAUUUGUAUUCUCAUAACCAGAAAUAUCGUACAAUCAGUAUAUGGGAGAAUAACCUCCCUCAAUAUAACGAGAGCCUAACCCCCUCACUCACACAGCAAGGAAA